UACGUAGGUGGCGAGCGUUGCUCGGAAUCACUGGGCGUAAAGCGCACGUAGGCGGAUUGCUAAGUCAGGGGGGAAAUCCUGGAGCUCAACUCCAGAACUGCCUUUGAUACUGGCGAUCUUGAGUCCGGGAGAGGUGAGUGGAACUGCGAGUGUAGAGGUGAAAUUCGUAGAUAUUCGCAAGAACACCAGUGGCGAAGGCGGCUCACUGGCCCGGUACUGACGCUGAGGUGCGAAAGCGUGGGGAGCAAACAGG
rnacentral:rRNA from 1 species